rnacentral:rRNA from 1 species
AGGUAAUGUCUGGGAAACGGCCUGAUGGAGGGGGAUAACUACUGGAAACGGUAGCUAAUACCGCAUAACGUCGCAAGACCAAAGUGGGGGACCGUUCGGGCCUCAUGCCAUCAGAUGUGCCCAGAUGGGAUUAGCUAGUAGGUGGGGUAACGGCUCACCUAGGCGACGAUCCCUAGCUGGUCUGAGAGGAUGACCAGCCACACUGGAACUGAGACACGGUCCAG